CGCCCCCCAACCUAGCUGUGGCCUGCGGCUCCCUGGCCGGUAGCGCCGCUGUCGGUCGCGCGAACCGCUCGUGUGGAACCGCGGGUCUCGGGCGCUCGCCGCCGGCUAUAGCUCAGCCCAGCGCCGCCGAGGCCGUCGGCCACAGCCUCCGUCAUGGACUUCGAGGACGAUUACACACACAGGAGUACUUACCAGGGCUUUAAUGGUGAGUAUCUUCUUUCAUUUGCUCUUAAAUAUGUUGAGGGAAUGCAUGUCAGUUUUUCUCUUGAUACACGUAAACUACCAGUGUAAAAAGUCAGUUCUGCCUCAUUUCAGUUGUUGUUUUCUCUCUCAGUGUAUCACUUCUCAGUGUUAAUGUUGUCAUACUAUAUAUAGUAUUUGAAUUAAGGAAUUUGGGAUCACAAAAAGUUAGAGCUGUUCGGAUUAGCUUGACUCUGUUUUGUUUGAAUUGUGAUUCCUUAAUUUUUUCCAAAAGGCCUUGACUACAUUCUGAGUGUUUAGUUAAAAGAAACUAGCUGAGUUCUUUUUGUUGAAUUAGAGGCUUUGGUAUUGAGUAAUGUAGAUUAAGUGGAUUAUUGCCUUCGUUCUAUAUGGCUUCUACUGUAAUGCAUUUUGACCUUGUUUUUGAGGUCAUUUGCUUUAAUGUGUCCAGAUGUGUUAGUGUAUAAAGAGCUGUCUAGAGGAACACAUAAAGAAAGCUGAUUAUUUAUUGACAUAAGCAUGACAUUAGAGUUGUGACUACAGAGCUAGAUAAGAUCUUGAGAGGUAUGCAGAAUACAAUGGAUGUCGUUUUAAUAGUUGUUAGAGUCAGGCUCUGCCAGACAGGAUGAUAACACAAAAAAGAAUGUGGGAUAAUUCAGAGAGGUUUAAAAAGCAUCAUGUGACACACCCCAGGGAGUGGAAUUAAAUAUCCUGAUUGCCAGAGAAAUCCAAAAUUCAACUGUUGUACUGAACAUAAUAUGUUCACAAAAUAAAACUGAAGCAAACGUACUGCUAAAUAAAGAA
rnacentral:lncRNA from 1 species